UGGUUAAUCUUCUUGACGCUGAUCUCC
rnacentral:piRNA from 1 species